CUGGAUUCGGCCAUACAGAAAGAGAAGAACUGCUUCCAGAACAUGGUCAGUAAAGAAACUUACGAGGAACUUCUGCGGAAGUCAGGCACCUGCCAAGACGACCUGACACAGGCCCUGGAGAAGCUCACACAGGCAACCUCCGAGACAAAGAGCCUGCAGCGCAACUUGCAACAGACCCAGGAGAGGAAAGCUCAGCUGGAAGAUGAAAUCAUGGCUUAUGAGGAAAGGAUGAAAAAGCUCAAUAUGGAAUUAAAAAAACUGCAGGGCUUCCAACAGCAGAGUGAGCUAGAGGUGCACAACUUUGACAAGAAACUGGAGGAGAUGGGCAACCAGGUGUUGCAGUGGCAGAGGCAGCACCAAAGUGACCUUAAGAUGCUGGCAGCUAAAGAGACACAGCUCCGGGAAUUCCAAGAGGAAAUGACUGCCCUGAAAGAGAACCUCCUUGCAGAUGAGAAGGAGGUGGGCACUGUUUGGAUUCUGUCACUUCCUCUCCACACUGGGCAGUCUUUGGGGAUGCCAGGAACAAGGCUUGCCAAUGAGAAACUGGGAAACAAGCUGCGAGAACAGGUUAAAUAC
rnacentral:lncRNA from 1 species